GAUGAAGAACGUAGCGAAAUGCGAUAAGUAAUGUGAAUUGCAGAAUUCAGUGAAUCAUCGAAUCUUUGAACGCACAUUGCGCCCCCUGGUAUUCCGGGGGGCAUGCCUGUCCGAGCGUCAUUACAACCCUCAAGCUCAGCUUGGUGUUGGGCCCCGCCGCCCCGGCGGGCCCUAAAGUCAGUGGCGGUGCCGUCCGGCUCCGAGCGUAGUAAUUCUUCUCGCUCUGGAGGUCCGGCCGUGUGCUCGCCAGCAACCCCCAAUUUUUUUCAGGUUGACCUCGGAUCAGGUAGGGAUACCCGCUGAACUUAAGCAUAUCAAUAAGCGGAGGA
rnacentral:misc_RNA from 1 species